GUGCGGGAGGGGGGAGGGGAGACGGUGGGAAGCCUGCGCCCGGGGAAAGAAAAAGAUGCGUGGUCUCCUUUGUGCGCGAACAAAUGGCCGAGCGCGGGGCGGUCGGGGCCCCAGGUCACGCGCUCCGGGCUGCAGCUGCCGCCUUGGGGCGGGGGUCCCGGGAGGCCGCUGUCCUCGCUCGACCCCGGCGGGCCCAGAGCGCGCCCGGCCCCGACCCGGCUGGCCUAGCGAGGUCAGACCCCGAGAGUGGAAGGCGCAGGACACGCGGACCGCGCUUCUCGUGGUGGACUUUGUCCUAGAAAUGCACUGUGCGUCUGAGAGCCUGACCUCCGAAAACUCCACACCUGUGCGAUUUUAAGUGUACAUUGUUCAACACCCCAUCCCACC